UUGCGAUACAAAUGGAGGGAAUAUUAUAUGGAGGAAGAGGGUGAGGACCAGGAAGAUAAAUGGACAAGAGAAAAGUUAGAUCAAAUCCAGCCAACCAAUCCCGAUAUCCACAGCCUCUUUCUCCAUUGGACCAGAACUGUCCCAACCAAAACCAGAAGCACCAACUGCAAGAGCACCAACACCGAACAAAAACAUAAUCAAAUUGCGAGCCCAGAAAUACAAGGAAAAAUAUUACUCCUGCUACUCGUGCGGCGCACUCCUCCACUGUUCUUGGGAAUCUUGGGAGGAAGAAAGUAGAGUCUCUGAGCUCCCUGCCAGUUCGUGGCGCGAGUGGCCUCAUGGUUUCUUGACGUCAUCUGCUCUUGAUCCAAGAACUCGGGGGUUUCUUGGACCGGUGGUUCUUGGAUUGGCCGGCCAUGUCGGUCUCGUCCCCGUCCAUGUGCGGCGGCGGGGAGACCGGGAGGAUCGUGGUGUGGUUCCGGAGGGACCUCAGGGUGGAGGACAACCCGGCGCUAGCGGCGGCGGCGCGCGCCGGAGGGGAGGUGGUGCCGGCGUACGUGUGGUCGCCGGAGGAGGACGGCCCUUACCAUCCGGGGCGCGUGUCCCGGUGGUGGAUCAGCCAGAGCCUGCAGCAUCUGGACGCCUCGCUCCGCCGGCUAGGGGCAGGAAAGCUCGUCACGCGGAGGUCUGCCGACGCCGUCGUCGCUCUGCUCCAGCUGGUCCGCGACACCGGCGCCACGCACGUCUACUUCAAUCAUCUCUAUGACCCUAUCUCGCUGGUCAGGGACCACCGGCUGAAGGAGAUGCUGACGGCUGAGGGCAUUGUCGUGCGAUCUUUCAAUGCGGAUCUGCUUUAUGAGCCAUGGGAAGUUGUUGAUGAUGAAGGGCAGCCAUUCACCAUGUUUGCCCCAUUCUGGAACAGGUGCCUCAGCAUGUCGUACGAUCCCCCCGCGCCGCUUCUGCCCCCGAAGAAGAUCAAUUCAGGUGCUCGGAGAAUUAUGAAUUCAAAUUUCCUAGCUUCUACCCGUUUUCAGAAUAAUUUACGAAUCACAGAAGUUUUGAUUGGCUGAAACGCUCUUCUGGCCCGAGCAUGGACACCAGGAUGGCAGAACGCAGACAAGGCGCUAACGGCCUUCCUCAACGGUCCUCUGGCUGACUAUUCAGUGAACCGCAAGAAGGCUGAUAGCGCAAGCACAUCCCUACUUUCACCGCACCUCCAUUUUGGUGAGCUUAGCGUGCGCAAGGUCUUCCACCUAGUUCGUAUGAAACAGCUUGUGUGGAGCAACGAGGGCAACCACGCUGCUGAGGAGAGCUGCACACUGUUCCUGAGUUCCAUUGGCCUGCGGGAGUACUCCCGCUAUCUGAGCUUCAACCAUCCAAGCAGCCAUGAGAGGCCCCUCUUGGCACACCUCAGGUUCUUCCCCUGGGUGGUCAAUGAGUGCUACUUCAAGAUUUGGAGGCAGGGAAGGACUGGAUACCCGCUUGUGGAUGCUGGCAUGAGGGAACUGUGGGCGACAGGGUGGUUGCAUGACCGGAUACGUGUGGUGGUGUCAAGCUUCUUUGUCAAGGUCCUUCAACUUCCAUGGCGAUGGGGUAUGAAGUACUUCUGGGACACUUUACUGGAUGCAGAUCUUGAGAGCGAUGCACUGGGCUGGCAGUACAUCACUGGCUCUCUCCCUGAUGGUCGAGAGCUUGACCGCAUUGACAACCCUCAGUUUGAAGGCUACAAGUUUGACCCGCAUGGGGAGUAUGUUCGACGGUGGAUUCCGGAGCUUGCAAGGCUGCCGACAGAAUGGAUACAUCACCCAUGGGAUGCACCUGUUUCCGUGCUACAAGCUGCAGGAAUUGAGUUGGGCUCCAACUAUCCUCUCCCCGUAGUUGAGCUAGACGCAGCCAAAGCCAGGCUGCAAGAAGCCCUGUCAGAAAUGUGGCAGCUGGAGGCCGCAUCAAGGGCCACAAUGAACAAUGGAGUGGAGGAAGGCCUCGGCGACUCCUCGGAGGUUCCGCCGAUUGAGUUUCCUCAAGAAUUACAGAUGGAAGUCGAUCGGCCGCCAGCCCAGGCAACGGCCAAUGUGCCGAUAACUGCUCGGAGGCGUGAGGAUCAGAUGGUGCCUACCAUGACGUCUUCACUGAACAGAGCUGAAACAGAGGUUUCUGCCGACCUGGGGAAUAGUGAGGACACUAGAGCACAGGUUCCGUUUCAUUCACAUUUCGAACCUCGAGUUGAGAGGGAAGAUGCAAUCCAAAAUGCAGAAGGCCCUGCUCCUAGAAUCAAUGGAGUUCACCAGCACAACAUCUUUCAGCAACCUCAGCAUCGUAGGCGAGAAGCUGUUGCGCCAUCCGUGUCGGAGGCUUCGAGUAGCUGGACCGGGAGAGAAGGCGCUGUAGUCCCAGUUUGGUCACCUCCUGCAGCAUCAGGCCAUUCAGAAACUUUUGCUGCUGAUGAAGCUGACGUUUCUAGUAGGAGUUAUUUGGAUAGGCAUCCCCAGUCGCACCGGUUGAUGAACUGGAGUCAGCUAUCCCAGUCACUGACAACAGGCUGGGAAGUGGAAAAUUCCGUGCAGCCAAAUUUAAUCGGUUAGGGUUUUCUAAAGAUGGGAUUCAUAUGUAAAUUUUCCAGUCUGUUGCUCAUCUAUAGUCUGGUGGGCAUGCAAACCAGGCUGCUCGUUCCUGUAUGUGAUAAUAGUCGUGUAAAUCUAAUCCGCUAGAACUUGUGUGAUCGACAUAGGGUGCUUAAAAAAAGUCACUAUUAUUGAUCAGACAAUGAAUGUUUUCUGUAAUUUUGACCCUUUUUUGGAGGUGUGCUAUGCAUGUAAAUGUACAUUCCCUUGUGUCUGUUGACCAUUAGCGAUCUUUGGUUACUAUC